CCAGCCCCACCAGCAUCUGAGCCAGCUCGUCAUAGCGGCCACAGUGCUCCCCGGCUCCAUGCGACACAAAGAUGAGGGCCCUGCGGGUGCCCCCAGGCUUCC